rnacentral:lncRNA from 1 species
AAACCUGGACACAGCACAGUAUACAGUUCAUAUACAAGUUCAGAUUAUGAUGCACUCCAAUACAAUGAAGACAUGAAGAAAUUCAGGAAGAUGGCACUAGCGACGAGCCAAGAAUAUGAAAGCAGUGGCCAGUACAGUAAUCCGACAAGUGAAUAUGGGCUGUAUCCAUCUGGUUCAAGUAGCGAAGGCCAACGGACAAGGGAAAUGGAAAUGGAUAAGAUGAAGAAAGACAGCAAAGGAUUCAGUGGAAGCAAAGGAUUCAGUGAAAGGUCUUAGUGCCAGAACUCCAUUUCUGUAUAAUCUUUCAACCUAACUCUAUUUUUAACAUGUGAAUGAUUCAGCAAUUGCAUAAAAGGGAUGAUUUACUUGGUUAAUAUACAGUUUUUUUUUCUUAAGAACUCAAUUUCUGUAUAAUCUUUCAACCUAACUCUAUUUUUAACAUGUGAAUGAUUCAGCAAUUGCAUAAAAGGGAUGAUUUACUUGGUUAAUAUACAGUUUUUUUUUCUUUCUUUUUAUAUGAGAAAAGUUCUCCAUUUUGUAUUUAUAAUAUCUUUUACAACAGAGGGAUGAGUUAUACUGU